CUGCAGAAACUUGAGUUAGAGUUGGAGAAGGUUACUUCUGGCUCAGCUGCGUAGUCGAACCCAGUUCAACUCUCUCCGAGCCAUCCGCUGGGUGAGAAGUCUCACGGCACAUCUGACGUGAGUAAGCACAUUUCAUUAGUUCCUCAAUUUAGAGAAACAGAAGUAGUUUCUUCAGUGCGUUGCAACUUCUCUUUGUUGGCCUAAGGAGGUUUGGUCUCUGUUUUUGCAAUGCAGAUUAAUUGGUAAAGCGCAAGAAAUCUGUUCUACAUUAUCACUUGAAGAAAGUCUGAAAUAUAAGUCUGUGAAGUCUGCCAUCCUGCGAGCAUAUGAGUUGGUUCCGGAGGCUUAUAGGCAACAUUUUAGAAAGCACAAGAAGGGUCCUACACAAACAUUUGUGGAAUUUGCUAAGUGUUAUUCGAUAAAUGGUGUACCAUGAGUUUAAAUCUUUAAGGGAGUUGAUGUUAGAGGAGUUCAAGGGAUGCUUACCUGAUCGUGUAGUAGUGUACCUAAAUGAACAGAAGGUAACUUCUUUGUCACACGUGGCAGUAUUUGCAGACGAGUUUGUGUUAACUCACAAAAAUGUUUUUUGGACUGUACGUUUUGAAAAGUCACAGGUGGAUAGUUCACAAUCUCAAAUGUCACAUUCCAAGUUCAGCCCACCUCGUAAUAAAGAGGAGCAUGAAUGUUUUUACUGUCACAAGAAAGGGCAUGUGAUUGCUAAUUGUCUGGCUUUGAAGCGUAAACAGCAGCCACAACCAAAGAGCAUGGGGUUUGUGAAAGAGUUUAAAUCUGCGGUCAUGGUGCAUACUGAGGAAGAAGUUGAGAGUUAUCACCCCUUUGUGUCUAAAGGGUUAAUUUUGUUCUUUGUCUGGGAAAAGGGAGGACCAGGAUGAAAUAAGUAUACUCAGGGACACUGGUGCCAUGCAAACUUUUUUGUUGGCAGAUAAGUUACUGCUGACUGAAAAUACCUUUUGUGGCUCUAGUGUGAUUGUGUAGGGCAUGGAGAUGGAGCGCGUGAAAUUUCCGUUGCAAUGCGUGCACUUAGAGAGUGAGCUGUGGACUGGUUUCGUGAGAGUUGCUGUGUGUCACUUCCUGUGAAGGGUGUUGAUUUUAUUCCUGGAAAUGACCUGGUAGGUGGAACGGUAAUGCCUGUUAUCGAAGUUGUGGAUGAACCCGAUGUGUUUUGUGAGUCAGGGGUAUUCUCUGAAAAUUACCCUGAUGUUUUUCCAGCCUGCGCCAUUACGUGCGCUCAGUUGCACAGAAUAGGUGAUGUAGUUGAUCUGUCUAAUUCAUUCAUGUUUCCACUGUUAUACAUCACUGGAUAUGAAUCUUGAAAAGGAAAACUGUUUAAAGACAGAGAACAAAGGGGUAAUUGUGUCUGAUGCAGAUGCACUUAAAUUACCUGUGUCCUUUGAGAAUUAUUACUGCACAGAAGUUGGAUAAAACUCUUGUUAGUUCGUUUAAUUCGGUUGUCUCUCUUGAUGUGACAAUGACUUACUGAUGAGAAAGUGGUGUUCUCAUGCUGACACAAAUUCAGAUUCACUUUCCUACUGUCAGUAUGUCUUGUGUCUAGCUCAUGAUCAACAACUUGCUGGUCAUUUAGGAGUUAGGAAGACAUAUAGAAGGAUUUUGAGUCAUUUCUUUUGGCCAGUGUUGAAAAAAAGAUGUUGCUCAUUAUUGCUGUACUUGUCAUACCUGUCAGAUUGUUGGGAAACUGAAGCAGAGAAUUCCACCUGCUCCUUUGUCUCCUAUACCUGCGACUGGGGAACUGUUCGAACAUGUGAUGGUAGACUGUGUUUGUCCGUUACCUAAAACUAAGUCUGGUAAUCAGUUUUUGUUAACUAUCAUGCGUGUGGCCACCAGAUUUCUGGAGGCGAUUCCUCUAUGAAAAAUCACUGCACCAGUUGUCAUCAAAGCAUUAGUAAAAUUCUUCUCCCCAUUUGGACUUUUAAAAAUAGUGCAAACUGAUCAAGGUACGAAUUUUUUAUCAAAACUUUUUAAGCAAGUACUUAAAUCACUGGCAGUUUCUCACCAGGUCUCAAGUGCAUAUCAUCCGCAAAGCCAGGGUGCACUUGAGCGAUUUCACCAAACACUUAAGUCAAUGCUUAAGAAAUACUGCCAGGACCCUGCGAGAGACUGGGGUGAAGGGGUUCCCUUAGUUUUAUUUGCUGUCAGAGAGACCCCUCAAGAAUCACUUGGUUUUAGCCCAGCCGAACUUGUGUUCGGACACCAAGUUAGAGGUCCACUGAGUUCUUAAAGAACAGAUUUUAGAACCCAAGUCGAGUUCAAACACUAAUGUACUGGAUUAUGUAAGCAGAGCUGGAUUAUGUAAGCAUAGCUAAAGAAUCACUGGCAGAUGCUCAGACAGAUAUGAAACGGAAGUUUGAUAAACAAGCUGUAGAGCGAUCAUUUCAACCUGGUGACGAAGUGCUUGUUCUCUUGCCCGUCCCAGGAUCAUUUUUGUCUGCUCGUUUCUUUGGUCCCUACGUGGUGAAAAGGGGAAUGAGUGAAACUGAUUACAUGUUGUACACACCUGUUAAAAGCUUAUCAUACUAGAGAGCUGUCAACGAUAAGUGCUACGGAACAGACUGUCUCUUCAGUCGCGAUAGCCACGGAUGUCACGGAAUCUCCUGAUAUUUUGGGUUCUGAUGUGGAUGGUGUGGUGCUUCGCAAUGCUUUCUAGCAAUGUGCGAGGUUGGCCAAUUCCGAGAUUUUAAAAGAUCUUCACUCGUAUCUUAAUCAUUUGACUGUGGAUUAGAGAAUAGACAUUGUAGAAGUGCUUUCUGAUUUUAAAGCUCUGUUUAGUGAUGUUCCUACACAAACCAAUGUCUUGCAACAGGAUAUUAAUGUGAAUGGUGCUCGUCCUAUUAAGCAACAUGCUUAUCGUGUAGAUUCAAUGAAAAGAUCUAUUAUGCGUCAGGAGGUGGAGUAUUUGCUGAAUCAUGGUUUAGCCAAGUCCAGUUGUAGUCCCUGGAGUUCUCCAUGCCUACUGUUUCCCAAAUCCAAUUACCUCGUAUGGAGGAUUGAAUAGAUAACAUCGGUUCUGCAUGUUUCGUUACAAAGCUUGAUAUGCUGAAAGGAUACUGGCAAGUUCCACUCACUUCACAAGCUUCUGAGAUUUCAGCCUUUGUGAAUCCAGAAAAUUUCCUCCAGUAUACAGCGAUGUCUUUUGGGCUUAGAAAUGCCCUGGCAACUUUUCAGCGCCUCGUUAAUAUAGUUUUACGUGAUGUACCGAAUUGUAAUGUGUAUCUUGAUGAUUUGGUAUUAUAUUCGUUGGAUUGGACAGAACACAUUUGCCUGUUAAGAACCAUGUUUGAACAACUUGUUAAAGCAAACUUAAUGAUUAACCUAGCAAAAUGUGAAUUUGGAAAACUGACUGUCACUUAUCUUGGCAAGGAGGUUGGUGGAGGCCAAGUUCACGGCCAUUAGGGAAUUUCCGGGCUCCUACUACCCAUAGAGAGUUACGGAGGUUCUUGGGUAUGGUGGGCUAUUAUCGUACUUUUGUAGGAAUUUCUCAACCAUUGUGAGUCCUCUCACCUCACUUCUUAGCCCAUCUAACCCUUACAAGUGGACUGUUGAGAGUCAACAUGCUUUUGAUUCAGUAAAAAUGUUGAUGUGUAAUCCACCUGUUUUAAUGGCACCUGACAUGUACUCAGAGUUUUAAAUUGGAGGUUGAUGCCAGCGCCGGGGGGCUGGGGCUGUUAUUAUCCAUGAGGAUGAGAAUGGGAUAGAACAUCCUAUUAGUUACUAUUCUCGUAAAUUUACCAAACAUCAGCUGAAUUAUUCAACUACUGAGAAAGAGGCUCUUGCUCUAUUGCUCUCAUUACAACACUUUGAAGUUUACCUUGGUUCCAGUAAUCUUCCAAUUGUGGUAUAUACAGAUCACAGUUCUCUGGUGGUUUUGACUCGGAUGUAUAAUCAUUUGCAGCGUUUAAUGCAUUGGGCUCUUAUCAUCCAGAACUACAACCUAGAAAUCAGACAUAAGAGGGGUUUGGAGAAUGUUUUGGCUGAUGCUUUCUCAAGAGUGUAAUGUUUUUUUUAACGAAUUUUGUUCUUAAGGGUGGGAGUGUUACGUCCAUAAAUGUCCUUGUGGGAGUGCCUGUGUUUUGUUUCUCUCUCUCUCUCUGUUCGAUUUCUUAGGCUGCCUCCCUUGACGGCCAAUUGGCUCACGGAGUUGUCAGUCGUCAUUAAGCAACGCGCUGCUGACCUAUCCGCUUCCAGAAAUAUUUCCACUGGCAGAUAAAAGGGCACUGGAAGGAGUAAAUGGAGGCCCCCUUUCUUUCUUCUCCUUUGCUGGCUGCUCCCUGUCUGGGUGCUGUCCUUGUUACUCGUCAUUGUUUUUUUUAAACUGAUUUUUCGUUUGUUUGUUUUUUUUGUUACUUUUCACUGAUGAGAAAAGUGGACAGGGAAGAUGUCGUGCGAUUCCUUUUGUGCAACAACUUGAUGUUUAGACACCCUAGAUGCAGUGUGUGGAGUGAAUGUCCAUAAUAUAGGGAAGAGAGACUCCGAUGAUCUUCUCAACUGUCUUCACUAUCCGCUGAAGGGUCUUGUGAUCUGAAACAGUGCAAUUCCCAAACCAGUGAUGCAGUUGCUCAGGAUGCUCUCGAUCAGGGGUGCCCAAACUUUUUCCUAUGAAGGGCCAAAAAUCAAACUUGACUGAGGGCUGAGGGCCAAAGACAUACAUUCCAGAAAAUCUUCUCUGCCCUUAGGCUCUGAGAGUGAAAUCUUCUGAACUGCUGCAGCUGUGGAGACUAAACAGAGCAGGAACAGCUCCUCUUACCAUGUGGAGGGAUUUUGUUGAAUUCCUCCUUACAGAAUUCCUUGAAUCGCUUUUUCAGAUCUGAGAGAGAAUUCCUCACUCCAUCAAAUGAGAGAUGAUGAUGGACAGUGAUGCUGGGUGAAUCCUCAUGAUCAGAAGAGACACAGAGAGACCGGAAACCCUACAGAGAAAGUAGGAAAAAGAUCAGUGUUCUCCAGCUCCAGUUGCUUCAGGAGUCGUUCAGCUUGAUUCAGUUCAGCCUUCUCCUGAGCUCUGAUCAGCUCUAUCACUUCAGAGCGCUUUUUCUCCAUUGAACUGAUCAUCUCAGUAAAGAAGACACACACUUGGAGACAGAGGUUGAAGUAAAGUAGCCUCUCUUAGUCCAGUGAUGGUCACAUCUCAGUCCAGUGAUGGUCACAUCUCAGUCCAGUGAUGGUCACAUCUCAGUCCAGUGAUGGGCACAUCUCAGUCCAGUGAUGGGCACAUCUCAGUCC